AUACCAAUAACAUAUUGGUCCAACUUGCCUUAGAAUAGGGGAGCUUAACUUAUGUUUUUGAUGUUUAAGUUAAAAGCCUCUGUUCUAAGACAAUUUGAUGAUCAAAACAGCCGGAGAAA
rnacentral:precursor_RNA from 15 species